CCUCCCACAACACGUGGGAAUUCCGGGAGAUCCGAUUUAUGUUGACAUUUGGGUGGGACACAGCCAAACCGUGUCAAGAGAGAAGAGUUCUGGGCUGAGGCUGGUCAUGUUUAGAGGCCUGAGAUGAUUUCAUCACCUAGACAUGUACUUGUGUGUGUGUGCAUGUGUGUAGCUCUAAGACUUUACAACACAUGUAACUCCAUGGAACCACCACAAUCAGGUAUUCAACUGGACUAUCAUGUUUCACAGGCCCCUGGUCUUAUGCCUCCAGUGAGACCAUCGGUUAAUGAACACGUAUGUAGCAGCUGCUGCAUACACCACCCCCGGCUGAAUUCUCACAAGCACCCAGCAGCUGCUCCGUAUUCCAGGACAUUACCAUCGUCUUGCUGAAGAAGCGGGCUGUGGAGAGGUUCUGCCACGUGUCUGCGGUCACACGACUGGGCCUGGGGAAGGGAAGUUCUGUGCAGAGCUGAGGCUGAGGCUGAGGACAUCUGAGAUAAGUCGAAGGACAUCUGAAGAGACAGAAAGCCAGGCUUUGCUAGAACUAAGUCCUUUUCUUGAACGAAACGCUAGAACUAAACCAAACUCAGCUCCAGAGACCGACACUGACCCACACGGCCCCUGUCUCAUAAACACAUGGAACACACAACCCACCAGGCGUUCCUGAAAACCCAGUAUGUAAAAGAGGACCUAAGAGGAAACAGCAGAAUGGCUGAUAACCGAGAGGGUAGAAUUGAACUUCUGAAAAAGUCUUAGCAUCCUCACACACGUUCAGCAGAGUGGCUGGCUUCAUAAAAGAAGAGUAAGUUCUUAAGAAAAGGAGAAAUCAAAACUAUGUUCAGGAAGAAGCAUAGAACUGCUGAGAUGAAAAGCUUACACUGAUACAAUGAAGGAUAAAUGGGAAGGAAUCUUCCCUUCACAUAGAGCAAAGCAACAAAGAGAUGGAAACUAUCAGAGAAACACCAAGAAACAGAGGGUGGGGCACGGUGGCUCCCACGUGUCACCCCAGCGCUUUGGGAGGUCAAGGCAGGCAGAAUACCUCAGGUCAGGAGUUUGAGACCAGCAUGUCCAAUAUAGUGAAACCUCAUCUCUACUAAAAGUACAAAAAUUAGCCAGACGUGGUGGCACACACCUGUAGUCUCAGCUAGUCUACUCGGGAGGCUGAGGCAGGAGAAUUGCUUGAACCCGGGAGGCGGAGGUUGCAAUGAGCCACGACUGCACCACUGCACUCCAGCCUGGGUGACAGAGCAAGACUCCAACCCAAAAACCAAACAAAACAGAAAACGCCACAGAGAUUUGACAUCUAUCUAAUAGGAGUUACAGAAAAGUAACUACAGAAGGAAAGAGAAUUUCAAAGAAAUAAAACAGGGAAGAAAUCAUAGAAGACAAUUCUCUGAGCAGAAGAAAGUCAUAUUAUUGGAUGACAAAGACCUAGAGAAUAGCAGCAGAAUGAAUUUAAAACACGGUCUCACACCAAGACACACUCUGAUGAAAUUGUAGAAUAUAAAUAAAAUCCUAAGAGCUUCUGGGAGGAGAGAAGGCAGCUCUACCGCAACAAGGCUCCUCAGAUUUCUUUUUGGCAAUAAUAUGUGAUAAUACAAUGAAGUGAAGUGUCCAAAACUCAGAGGGAAAAGUUGCUGAACCUAGAAUUCCAGAGCACAUGAACAAUUAGCCACCUGCGAGGUCAAAAAACGGAUAUCCAUAUGCCACACAAGACCUGAAAAAAUUACUCAAGUUGGUACUCCAGCAAAGUGAAAUACAGGACUCGGGGGCACCUACAGAUCUACCACAGUGGGUGACUGGAGGAACUACGGCGUUGACACAUGACGGAAAACUGAGCAGCUGAAAAGCAGCAGGACACAUUGUAGCAUGAUGGGGGCACUACUUAUGCUAAACACACACAUACGCAGGUGCAAAAUAUACACUUUUAUGGAUAUGUGAAGAUUUAGGGAAAUUCAAAUGUGAAGGUCUGGAGUAUGCACAGGUGUGGUGGGAGGAAGUUGGGGUUGGGAGAAGACGGAGUGAUCGAAGUGACUUUAGACCUUUCAGUAAUAUUUUAAAUUUUACAAGGAGAAUGUACACACACACACACAUCAUAGUAAAAUUAUAAAAACAAAAAUAUAAGCAAAGCAAAGCACAAGUCUAUUCGACAGUAAGUGCAAAGCUGGAAAAAAUUAAUUAAGAGACAGUCACCUAGACCUUCUGCCUGGAAGAGUCCACUUUGAGCGGCAGAGCUUUGGAAGCCAAGGAUUAUGUUUCUUUUUAUAGGUCCAGUCAUACCGUCUGGCUCCAAAGGGAAUCACAUCAUCAUAAAAUCACAAGUGGAUUUUUAAACAAUUUUAUUGAGAUGUAAUUCACACACCAUCAAUUGAGACUGUAGGAUUCAGUGGUUUUUAGUAUAUUCAGAGUUGGCCAACCAUCACCACGAGCAGUUUGAGAACUUUUGUAUCACACCAAAAAGAAAGAAACCCUCUGCCCGCUGCAGUCAUCCUCCAUUUCUCCCUGAUACGUCUCCCCCCUCCAGUCCCAGGCAACCACUCAUCUAUUCAUUGCCUCUGAGGAUUCGCCAGCUAGGAACGUUUCAUGUAAAUGGAAUCAUGUAAUAGGUGGUCUUUAGCGACUGGCUGCCUGUGCUUGGCAGAAAGUUUUCAAGGCUUAUCUACGUCGUAGGGUGUGUCAACACUUCACUCCUUUUCAUUGCUGAAUAACAUUCUACUGCAUGGACAUUUCACGUUUUCUUCAUCCAGUUCCUCAGUUCCUGGAUAUUUGGGUCGUCUCCACUUUUUGGCUAUAGCAAAAACUAUGCUUCCGUGAACAUUCGUGAACAAGAUUUUGGGUGAACGUGUUUUCAUUCUUCCUGGGUAUAUACCUAGGAGUAGCCCAUAUGGCAACUUUAUGUGCAACUUUUUUCAUUCUGUCACCCAGGCUGCAGUGCAGUGACACAAUCUCAGCUCACUACAACCUCCACCUCCCAGGUUCAAGCUAUUCUCGUGCCUCGGCCUCCUGAUAGCUGGGACUACAGGUAUGCACAACCAGGCCCGGCUAAUUUUUGUAUUUUUAGUAGAGAUGGGGUUUUGCUAUGUUGGCCACACUGGUUUCAAACUCCUGACCUCAAGUGAUCCACCCACCUUGGCCUCACAAAAUGCUGGGAUUAUAGGAGUGAACCACCAUGGCUGGCCCCGUUUACCUUUUUUUUUUUUUAAUUAAAACAACAACAUUUUUUAAGACAAGGUCUCACUCUAUUACCCAGGCUGGAGUGCGGUGGCACAAUAAUGGCUUGAUGCAACCUCAACGUCCUGGACUCAAGAGGUCCUCACAUCUAGCUAGGACUAGCCUAACUAGUUAGCUAGGACUACAGGUGUGCACCACCACGUCGGGCUAAUUUUUAAAUUUUUAGAAAAUUUAAAAAUUAAAAGAAUCAAUGCAACAAUAAGAGUUAACGAUCCUAAAGACCCAUAAAGAGAUUUAGACUCAACGAGACAGAAAAUUGAUGAGGACAAUCAGGACUUGAACUCAGAUGCGGAACAAGUAAACUUAAUAAAUAUCUAUAGAGCUCUCCAUUUUAAAUACACAAAAUAUUGAUCGGCCAUUAUUAAUACCCAUUUUUAGAAUAAAGCAAUGUUCCCAUCCUCUCUCCCUCUUUUUCUUCCUCUUUCUUCCUCUCCUUCACUCCUUUUCUCUUUCUUUUCUUCUUUCCAAAAAAAAAAAAAAAAACUUUCACUGUUUAAGUCAGCCCAUCUAUGGCAGGUUUCAUCCUGAGGCCUCUCAUCUUGGCUGGUAGGCAGCCACCAUUUCUGCAUGUGCUCACAUGGCCUCUUGUUUGUCCUCCUGUG
ensembl:lncRNA